rnacentral:tRNA from 1 species
UAAACGGAGGCCAAAUAGAGGUGCCUAGCUGUUAAUUAGGAGACUGUAGUUACUCUACCCGUUUAG